CUAUCGCUUACAGAUGGGCCCGCGGUGCAUUAGCUAGUUGGUAGGGUAAUGGCCUACCAAGGCAACGAUGCAUAGCCGACCUGAGAGGGUGAUCGGCCACACUGGGACUGAGACACGGCCCAGACUCCUACGGGAGGCAGCAGUAGGGAAUCUUCCGCAAUGGACGAAAGUCUGACGGAGCAACGCCGCGUGUAUGAAGAAGGUUUUCGGAUCGUAAAGUACUGUUGUUAGAGAAGAACAAGGAUAAGAGUAACUGCUUGUCCCUUGACGGUAUCUAACCAGAAAGCCACGGCUAACUACGUGCCAGCAGCCGCGGUAAUACGUAGGUGGCAAGCGUUGUCCGGAUUUAUUGGGCGUAAAGCGCGCGCAGGCGGUCUUUUAAGUCUGAUGUGAAAGCCCCCGGCUUAACCGGGGAGGGUCAUUGGAAACUGGAAGACUGGAGUGCAGAAGAGGAGAGUGGAAUUCCACGUGUAGCGGUGAAAUGCGUAGAUAUGUGGAG
rnacentral:rRNA from 1 species